GAGCUUGCUCCUUCGACGGUUAGCGGCGGACGGGUGAGUAACGUAUGGGCAACCUACCCUAUACUUGGGAAUACCUCCCGGAAAACUGGGCUAAUACCCAAUAACUUGUUUCACCUAAGGGUGAAACACUGAGACACCGUAUCAGCUGUCUCUCCAAGAUGGGACCGCGGCGCAGUAGCUGUUUGGUGAGGUAACGGCUCACCAACGUAACUAUUUUUAGCCGACCUGAGAGGGUGAUCGGCCACACAGGGACUGAGACACGGCCCAGACUCCUACGGUAGGCAAUUUUAGGGAAUCUUCCACAAUGGGCGAAAGCCUGAUGGAGCGACUCCUCGUGGCUGAAGAAUGAUUUCGGUUCUUAAAACUCUAUUAUAAGGGAAUAACAAAUACUUUACUAACUGGCUGUUCCUUGACGGUACCUUAUUAGAAAGCCACGGCCAACUACCUGCCAUCAUACGCGGUGAUACAUAGGUGGCAAGCAUUGUCGGGAAUUAUUGGUCGUCAAGCGCGCGCAAGUGGUUUCUUAAAUCUGAUGUAAAUCCCCACUGCUCCUCCAUGGAUGGUCAUUGGAAACUGGUGGACUUGAGUGCAGAAGAGGAUAGUGUAAUUCCAUGUGUAGCGUUGAAAUGCGUAGAAACUUGGAGGAACACCGCUGGCGAAUGCGACUACACUGGUCUGUCACUGACACUGACGCGCGUAAGCGUGGGGAGCAAACAGGAUGAUAUACCCUGGUAGUCCACACCUCUACACGAUGAGUGCUGACGUGUUAGGGGGGUUUCCGCCCCUUACUGCUGCAGCUAGACGCACUAAGGCACUCCCGCCUGGCGGAGUACGGUCGUCAGACUGAUACUCAGAGACACUUGACAGGCGGCUCGCACACGCGGUGGAGCAUGAUGGUAUAAUUCAAAGCAUCGCUACGACCGUCACCGUCGUCGUAGACAUCUCGAUGACACUGUAGCAGAUCAUAGAUUACCCGUACAGGGGUACUGCUGACCUGUGUGCAUCGCUUGUCGUCAGCAUCGUGUCGUGAGAUCCUGGGU
rnacentral:rRNA from 1 species